rnacentral:rRNA from 1 species
UACGAAGGGAGCUAGCGUUGUUCGGAAUUACUGGGCGUAAAGCGCACGUAGGCGGAUUUGCCAGUCAGGGGUGAAAUCCCGGGGCUCAAUCUCGGAACUGCCUUUGAUACAGCAAGUCUUGAGUUCGAGAGAGGUGGGUGGAAUUCCUAGUGUAGAGGUGAAAUUCGUAGAUAUUAGGAAGAACACCGGUGGCGAAGGCGGCCCACUGGCUCGACACUGACGCUGAGGUGCGAAAGCGUGGGGAGCAAACAGG